rnacentral:rRNA from 1 species
GAUGAACGCUGGCGGCGUGCCUAAUACAUGCAAGUCGAGCGAACAGAUGAGGAGCUUGCUCCUCUGACGUUAGCGGCGGACGGGUGAGUAACACGUGGAUAACCUACCUAUAAGACUGGGAUAACUUCGGGAAACCGGAGCUAAUACCGGAUAAUAUAUUGAACCGCAUGGUUCAAUAGUGAAAGGCGGUUUUGCUGUCACUUAUAGAUGGAUCCGCGCCGCAUUAGCAAGUUGGUAAGGUAACGGCUUACCAAGGCAACGAUGCGUAGCCGACCUGAGAGGGUGAGCGGCCACACUGGAACGGAGACACGGUCCAGACUCCUACGGGAGGCAGCAGUAGGGAAUCGUGCGCAAGGGGCGAAAGCCUGACGGAGCAACGCCGCGUGAGUAAUGAAGGUCUCCGGAUCGUAAAUCUCUGUUAUUAGGGAAGAACAAAUGUGUAAGUAACUAGGCACGUCUUGACGGUACCUAAUCAGAGAGCCACGGCUAACCACGUG